GCGUCAGUGGUCUAGUGGUAGAAUACGUCCCUGCCACGGACGAGACCCGGGUUCGAUUCCCGGCUGACGCA